rnacentral:lncRNA from 10 species
CAACCAUUAAUUCUUAAAUGUGUUAAGAUUAUUUGAUGUCAUGGUAAAAUGUUUAUGAAAUAUUACAUUUUAAAAGUGUAGUAUAGUAACCUACAAUGUGAUACCAAUUCUGUAAAACAGUAAAUGUAUUAAUGAAACACUCUAAGUAAAGGAAAAGUGAGUAGUUAUCGCUCUUUUUUAGUAUGUUUUAAUUGAUAUAUCAUGGUUAUAUAUAUUUUUGGGGUACAUGUGAUAUUUUGAUACAUGUAUACAACAUGUAAUGAUCAAGUCAGGGUAAUUGGGAUGUCUGUCACCUCAAACAUUUAUCUUUUUUUGUGUCAUGAACAUUAUAAUUCUUUCCUUGUAGUUGUUUUAAAAUAUACAAUAAAUUAUUAUUCAUUAUAAUUUUUUAAUUAAAUAUUUUUAAAAUUUUUAUUAUUUUUAUUUUUUUUAGAGACAGGAUCUUGCUGGUCACCCAGACUGGAGUGCAAUGGUGCAAUCAUAGUUCACUGCAGCCUCGAACUCUUGGGCUCAAGCAGUCCUCCUACCUCAGCCUCCAGAGUUGUUAUCUAUAAUUUUGAACAGUAGUUAUCUGUAACAGUGAGAAGCAAAGGUUUUCCUCAUUUCCUCUUUUACAGUUUCUGUAUUUUCCAUAAUUGAUACAUCAUCACAUAUUACAAUUAUGAUGAGAAAACAUGAUACAUAUUUUUAUUUGGAAAAUACAUAAAUAAAAACAAAAUCUAUGACCUCACCGUUCAGACUCAACAUCUCUUCCAUUUUGAUGUCAUGCGAUGUUUCUGACGGAGGUUUAAUUGAAAUGAAACAGCAUCAAUAAGCAUGGGCUCCACAGUCUUCCCACAUCGCUCUGAGUGCCCGGGGAGGGACUGGGGACUCCCCCCACACAUUAACCCACGAGGACCUCUCACAUGGACCUUUUUACAUUCUCUCUAAUCUUUCCCAAAGCCUUGCAAGGUGGGAGUAAUAUUAUUAUUCCCAUUUCAGAGAUGACAAAACUAAGAAACUCGUCCUCUGUGAGUUUCUGUGCUAUUAGGCUGUGUCUCAUGUCCCCGUACAAAGUAUCUUUGUAUGGGAGGCCUAAUGGUUAAGAGCAUGGACUUCUGUCCGACAGAAUUCAUUAAGUUCCAGGCCAGACACACUGCCGCUCUCUGGGAAUGUGUCCAUGGGCUAGGGGUGGCACUGAGCUUCCAUUCCAUUUCUUAUAAAAUAAUGACGACAAGAUCGUUUUCCUUAAAGGGUGGCUGUGAGCCUUCAAUUACACAGUGAUGAAAAGACCUUAGCACAGUGCUGGGCAACGGCUAGCUACUUCAGAGGCACAGCUGAGACUUGCACAGAGGUACCUGGCUGCAAAGUCCGGCUCCUCUACACUCUGCAGAGCUGUUUUCCCCCUUCAGAGCUCCUCUCCUCCGGGAGGGCUUGCCUCGCCCCGGUCCAGGAUCUCUGCCUUCGGUUGAAGCGCAGCGCCCCCAGCCGUCCGCAGGAGGGAUCGACGCCUCUGUCUCCCCGAAGUGAGGGCGCUCGCUGCGGAGCUGGGGGUGGUCUCCUCUUCCCCCCAUCGCGGCCCAGCAACCUGGGGGUCCGCGUGACUUCUCCCUGGCCGGGGGAUGGAGGAUGCGCUCUCCUCUGUCCCUUCAAGGCCUCUUCCUCGUCCCAGGUCGAGUCUCCUCCUUGCUGACCAGGCAUCGCGAGCAGAUGAAUCCUCUGGGCGGUUGUCCCUGUCAGGCUGUCAGGACCUGAUUUUCCCUGGUUCACUAAAGCACCAGAAGGUAUGAAGGCGGAGAGAGGAAACAGGGCAAUGGAAUGAACACUUCUCAAGAAUCUCUCAGGUGCCACGGACUGAGCCAGGUGCCUUCCAUGUGUUAUCUCAUUUUACAGGGCAGGUAACAUUUCUGAAAGGUCAGGCAGCUAAAAAGCAGACAGCUUUCUGGCACAUUAGAGAAACAAAAGAAAUGUUGGAGACUGGAAUGCCUGCUGUGUCAAGGCACCUAAUUAGAAAACAACGUCAGAGUGAAUUUGUCGUGCGAGUCUCCAGCUCUGCCAGAAGAACUAAAAGAAAUGUGUCACCAGAGGAAUCACAAAACCCCGCACCUGAUGAAUCAGCUGGCACCACCCAGAUUGAAAAACUGGCUCAUCUGAUCUUGUGGCCCCCUACCCAGGAACUGACUCAGCGCAAGAGGACAGCUUCGACUGCCUGUGACUUCAUCUCCAACCCAGCCAAUCAGCACUCCCAAAUCACUGCCCCCACCCACCAAAUUAUCCUUAAAAAUUCGGAUCCCCCUUGGGGAUACUGAUUUGAGUAAUAAUAAAACUCUGGUCUCCUGCAUGGCCAGC